GACUUCUCGGAAGGGCCGUAUUUAUUAGAUAACAGACCAAUAUUCCCUGGUGUCUAUUGUGGUGACUCAUAGUAACUGAUCGGAUCGCACGGGCGUGCCCGCGACAAACCAUUCAAGUUUCUGCCCCAUCAGCUUUCGAUGGUAGUGUAUUGGACUACCAUGGCUUUUACGGGUAACGGAGGAUUAGGGUUCGAUUCCGGAGAGGGAGCCUGAGAAACGGCUACCACAUCUAAGGAAGGCAGCAGGCGCGUAAAUUACCCAAUCCUGACUCAGGGAGGUAGUG
rnacentral:rRNA from 1 species